GACGAAGGACCCAAGCGUUAUCCGGAUUCAUUGGGUUUAAAGGGUGCGUAGGCGGGUUGAUAAGUCAGAUGUGAAAUCCCCGGGCUUAACCUGGGAACUGCGUUUGAAACUGAGGAGCUAGAGUGUGGAAGAGGGGGGUGGAAUUCCAGGUGUAGCAGUGAAAUGCGUAGAGAUCUGGAGGAACACCGAUGGCGAAGGCAGCCCCCUGGGCUAACACUGACGCUCAUGCACGAAAGCGUGGGGAGCAAACCGG
rnacentral:rRNA from 1 species